AGAUUCCAAAUAUGUAAAUUUCAAUUCAGAAAACUAAAAAAAUCCAUGUACGAAUUCACGGUCAAAAUUAAAAGGUUUGACUCUCGAAAUUCGAGUUGUGCCACAUAAAUUGGGACAGAUGGAGUAUUUCUUUUUCUUCUUUUCCGGUCUAACUAGUGCACGCCUUGAUAACACCUUAUAUUCCCACCGAGGCUUAGACAGAUGAGAAGAAAUCAACCAGCUUUAUUAUUUCCCCCUCUAAUGGGAUCCCUAUCACAACUGAACAAAAUAAACCAUUCUCUUUCCAGGUCUCUCAGAAAUCCAGCAUCCCAUUUGAGAUUAUAAUAAAACAGGAACCACAAAAUCCAUUAUUCCCUCCGUCCCAAUUUACAUGGCACCUUUUGGAUUUCGAGAUUCAAACAGAGCUUUUCUUCUUCUUUUUUUCAUAACUAUAUUAAAUUGUCAAUCAUUGUAACUUACAGUACUUUUCACGUAGUUUUCAACACCAACAACAAAUCUAGUGUGAUCCCACUCUGGGGAGGAGGAUUAGGACAUGAAAAGCAAAUAAGUUGGGGGUGGGUGAAUUAAGGGCAUACAGUUUUUUAGCUUGUUCAAGGGCACGAGCAUGACCGAAGUGGAAGAGAUCGUAGAUGCCAUCUGCAUAUACACGUGCCGGUCGAUCUGUUGGCGGUGGAUUUGGUGGGAUCGCUUUUAACCUUCGCUGUGGCUGUGGUGGUGGUGGUGGUGGUGCUUCUUCUAUCUCUAAUUGUGGAUCUUCCCCACCAUUCUCCAUUCCUUCUCUCUCUCUCUGUGUUGUGCUUCCCAAAAGGCAAAUUGUAACGUCUAAAUUGGAAAA